rnacentral:rRNA from 1 species
CCUGGCUCAGAACGAACGCUGGCGGCGUGCUUAACACAUGCAAGUCGAACGUGAUUCAGAGCUUGCUCUGAUGAAAGUGGCGCACGGGUGAGUAACGCGUGGAUAACCUGCCCUGGUAUCUGGGAUAACAUCUCGAAAGGGGUGCUAAUACCGGAUAAGCCUCCGGGAUCUUCGGAUUCUGCAGGAAAAGAAGGCCUCUAUUUAUAAGCUUUCGUAUCAGGAUGGGUCCGCGUACCAUUAGCUAGUAGGUGGGGUAAUGGCCUACCAAGGCGACGAUGGUUAGCUGGUCUGAGAGGAUGAUCAGCCACACUGGAACUGAGACACGGUCCAGACUCCUACGGGAGGCAGCAGUGGGGAAUUUUGCGCAAUGGGGGAAACCCUGACGCAGCAACGCCGCGUGAGUGAUGAAGGCUUUCGGGUCGUAAAGCUCUGUCAGAGGGGAAGAAAUGGAACUGGCUAAUAUCCAAUUUUCUUGACGGUACCUCAAAGGAAGCACCGGCUAACUCCGUGCCAGCAGCCGCGGUAAUACGGAGGGUGCAAGCGUUGUUCGGAUU